rnacentral:tRNA from 1 species
GUGGCUGUAGUUCAAUCGGUAGAGCACAGGAUUGUGGCUCCUGUUGUUGCGGGUUCGAGCCCCGUCAGCCACCCCA